CUGCCCUAUGGGUUGUAAACUGCUUUUAUCCGGGAAUAAACCUACUUACGUGUAAGUAGCUGAAUGUACCGGAAGAAUAAGGAUCGGCUAACUCCGUGCCAGCAGCCGCGGUAAUACGGAGGAUCCAAGCGUUAUCCGGAUUUAUUGGGUUUAAAGGGUGCGUAGGCGGCCUGUUAAGUCAGGGGUGAAAGACGGUAGCUCAACUAUCGCAGUGCCCUUGAUACUGAUGGGCUUGAAUGGACUAGAGGUAGGCGGAAUGAGACAAGUAGCGGUGAAAUGCAUAGAUAUGUCUCAGAACACCGAUUGCGAAGGCAGCUUACUAUGGUCUUAUUGACGCUGAGGCACGAAAGCGUGGGGAUCAAACAGGAUUAGAUACCCUGGUAGUCCACGCCCUAAACGAUGAACACUCGCUGUUGGCGAUACACAGUCAGCGGCUAAGCGAAAGCGUU
rnacentral:rRNA from 1 species